AUAGUAAAAGGUUUUAGGUAGAGUCCAAGUGAUAAAGAGGUGCACAUUUUCAUAUUCUGAAAACCAUUUUAUAAACUCAUCUAUUCUUCAUCUUAUUGUUAUAUUGUUAUUGUUAUUGUUGGGGUCAGAAAAUUUUCACUACUAAUACUAUGACUACAUCAAGGCGUGUAUCAGACAGGAAAGUAGCAAGAUUCGAAAGGAAAUUUAUGAAGAGAGGAUCUGAAAAGAAGGGAUGGGGAUUGAACCUUAUUGGUCCAAUUCUUAUUGGUUUCCUAGUUUUUGUUCUUCUUGGAUUAUGUUUGUUCAUCAUUAGGAGGACAGGUGCUGCAAGUGGUGGGACGGCCUAAAGAAGGAUGAGAAUUGCUGAAGAGUUUAUAUAAUGUCACAAAUAAGUAGUACUUUCGAACUAAAAAAAUGUAGUGUAUAGAAAAUAAAAUACCAUAUAGUUCAAAAUUCAUCACAUUUGUGGUGAUGGAUUGAAAUGAGAAUUUGCUUAAAGUAAUAAAAGAAUAAUGAAUGUUCAAUUUCUUGCA